GACGAACGCUGGCGGCGUGCUUAACACAUGCAAGUCGAACGGUAAGGCCCUUCGGGGUACACGAGUGGCGAACGGGUGAGUAACACGUGGGUGAUCUGCCCUGCACUUCGGGAUAAGCCUGGGACACCGGGUCUAAUACCGGAGAGGACCACUGCAUGCAUGGGUGGUGGUGGAAAGCUUUUGCGGCGUGGGAUGGGCCCGCGGCCUAUCAGCUUGUUGGUGGGGUGAUGGCCUACCAAGGCGACGACGGGUAGCCGGCCUGAGAGGGUGACCGGCCACACUGGGACUGAGAUACGGCCCAGACUCCUACGGGAGGCAGCAGUGGGGAAUAUUGCACAAUGGGCGCAAGCCUGAUGCAGCGACGCCGCGUGAGGGAUGACGGACUUCGGGUUGUAAACCUCUUUCAGCACCGACGAAGCGCAAGUGACGGUAGGUGCAGAAGAAGGACCGGCCAACUACGUGCCAGCAGCCGCCGUAA
rnacentral:rRNA from 1 species